rnacentral:rRNA from 1 species
UAAGGAAUAUUGGUCAAUGGGGGGAACUCUGAACCAGCCAUGCCGCGUGAAGGAUGACGGCCCUCUGGGUUGUAAACUUCUUUUGGAUGGGGCGAAAAAACGGGAUUUAUCCUGGACUGACGGUACCAUCAGAAUAAGCACCGGCUAACUCCGUGCCAGCAGCCGCGGUAAUACGGAGGGUGCAAGCGUUAUCCGGAAUCACUGGGUUUAAAGGGUGCGUAGGCGGUUGUAUAAGUCAGGGGUGAAAGCACGCAGCUUAACUGUGUAAUUGCCUUUGAUACUGUACGGCUUGAAUAGGGUUGAGGUUGGCGGAAUGUGACAUGUAGCGGUGAAAUGCAUAGAUAUGUCAUAGAACACCGAUUGCGAAGGCAGCUGACUGGGCCUAUAUUGACGCUGAGGCAC